AUUUAAUGGCCGCGGUAUUUUGACCGUGCAAAGGUAGCAUAAUCAUUAGUCUAUUAAUUGUUGACUUGUAUGAAUGGUUGGACGAGAUAUUGACUGUCUCAAUUUAUUUAGUUGAAUUUGAAUUUUGAGUUAAAAUGCUUAAAUGUUUUUAAAGGACGAGAAGACCCUAUAGAUCUUUAUUAAUUGAUUUUCUUAUUUGUUUAGUUUAUUAUUUAUUCGUAUAUUUAUUAAUUUUGUUGGGGUGACAUGGGGAUAUAAAUAACUCUUUAUUAUUUUUUACUUUGAUUUUUGUAUAUUUGACCUUGUAUUAUUGUUAUAAGAUAAAGAUACCUUAGGGAUAACAGCGUAAUUCUUUUUGAGAGUUCAUAUCGACAAAGGAGAUUGCGACCUCGAUGUUGGAUUAAGAUAAAAAUUAGGUGUAGGUGCUUGAUUGUUAGGUCUGUUCGACCUUUAAAUUCUUACAUGAUCUGAGUUA
rnacentral:rRNA from 1 species